GAAAUGCGAUAAGUAAUGUGAAUUGCAGAAUUCCGUGAAUCAUCGAAUCUUUGAACGCACAUUGCGCCCUCUGGUAUUCCGGGGGGCAUGCCUGUCCGAGCGUCAUUGCAAACCCUCAAGCCCGGCUUGCGUGUUGGGUCGCAGCGUCCCCGAUCUCCAGGGGACGGGCCCGAAAGGCAGUGGCGGCGUCGCGGUCAUCCGAUCAGCCCAAGCGUAUGGGGACUCUUCGUCACACGCUCGCGGCGCGGACCGACGCUCGCCCAUCCGUCGAACGACGAAACCCACAAGGUUUGACCUCGGAUCAGGUAGGGAUACCCGCUGAACUUAA
rnacentral:misc_RNA from 1 species